rnacentral:rRNA from 1 species
ACUCCUACGGGAGGCAGCAGUGGGGAAUAUUGCACAAUGGGCGCAAGCCUGAUGCAGCCAUGCCGCGUGUUGAAGAAGGCCUUCGGGUUGUAAAGACUUUCAGUGUGAGAGGAGGUGUGUUAAUAGCAUACUCAUUUGACGUUAGCUGCAGAAGAAGCACCGGCUAACUCCGUGCCAGCAGCCGCGGUAAUACGGAGGGUGCGAGCGUUAAUCGGAAUUACUGGGCGUAAAGCGCAUGCAGGUGGUUUGUUAAGUCAGAUGUGAAAGCCCGGGGCUCAACCUCGGAAUUGCAUUUGAAACUGGCAAACUAGAGUACUGUAGAGGGGGGUAGAAUUUCAGGUGUAGCGGUGAAAUGCGUAGAGAUCUGAAGGAAUACCGGUGGCGAAGGCGGCCCCCUGGACAGAUACUGACACUCAGAUGCGAAAGCGUGGGGAGCAAACAGGAUUAGAUACCCUGGUAGCUACGAGU